rnacentral:rRNA from 1 species
UACGUAGGGGGCAAGCGUUGUCCGGAAUUACUGGGCGUAAAGGGCGUGUAGGCGGCCGAUCAAGUCAGGUGUGAAAUUCCAGGGCUCAACUCUGGGCGUGCAUUUGAAACUGGCAAGCUAGAGUAUGGUAGAGGGUGGUGGAAUUUCCUGUGUAGCGGUGAAAUGCGUAGAUAUUGGGAGGAACACCAGUGGCGAAGGCGACUUUCUGGCCUGUAACUGACGCUGAGGCGCGAAAGCUAGGGGAGCAAACAGG